AGAAUUACCUAGAGAGCUUUAAAAACAUUCUGUGCCUCCCAGGGUGAGGCUUAUCCAUUGCUCUCCGGAUGUGCUGACCCCUGCGAUUUCCCCAAAUGUGGGAAACUGGACUGCAUAAUUUGUGGUAGUGGGGACUGCGUUCGUGCUCUCCCCUG
rnacentral:snRNA from 1 species